rnacentral:tRNA from 1 species
ACCUGGCUGACUCGAUGGUAAGAGUGUGUGACUCUUGAUCUCAGGGUCAUGAGUUUAAGCCCCAAGUUGGGUG